rnacentral:rRNA from 1 species
UACAGAGGGUGCGAGCGUUGUUCGGAUAUACUGGGCGUAAAGCGCACGUAGGCGGCGUCGUAAGUCAGGGGUGAAAUCCCGGAGCUCAACUCCGGAACUGCCCUUGAAACUGCAAUGCUAGAAUCUUGGAGAGGCGAGUGGAAUUCCGAGUGUAGAGGUGAAAUUCGUAGAUAUUCGGAAGAACACCAGUGGCGAAGGCGACUCGCUGGACAAGUAUUGACGCUGAGGUGCGAAAGCGUGGGGAGCAAACAGG